rnacentral:rRNA from 1 species
UUACCAAAACCCAAAGCAUUUACCUGGUAAAAAUGACAAUUGUUUUCGGUUGGGGCGACCCUGGAGAAAAAUAAAUCCUCCAAGCUGAAUAGAUUAAAAAUCUAAUGUUAGAGUAACAACUCAAAUAAUCAAAAUCUUGACAAAAUGACCCAGAAUUUAUCUGAUCAACGAACCAAGUUACCCUGGGGAUAACAGCGC